GAGUUUGAUCGUGGCUCAGAUUGAACGCUGGCGGCAGGCCUAACACAUGCAAGUCGAGCGGUAGAGAGAAGCUUGCUUCUCUUGAGAGCGGCGGACGGGUGAGUAAUGCCUAGGAAUCUGCCUGGUAGUGGGGGAUAACGCUCGGAAACGGACGCUAAUACCGCAUACGUCCUACGGGAGAAAGCAGGGGACCUUCGGGCCUUGCGCUAUCAGAUGAGCCUAGGUCGGAUUAGCUAGUUGGUGAGGUAAUGGCUCACCAAGGCGACGAUCCGUAACUGGUCUGAGAGGAUGAUCAGUCACACUGGAACUGAGACACGGUCCAGACUCCUACGGGAGGCAGCAGUGGGGAAUAUUGGACAAUGGGCGAAAGCCUGAUCCAGCCAUGCCGCGUGUGUGAAGAAGGUCUUCGGAUUGUAAAGCACUUUAAGUUGGGAGG
rnacentral:rRNA from 1 species